rnacentral:rRNA from 1 species
GGCGGCACGCCUAACACAUGCAAGUCGAACGGAGUUUUGAGAGCUUGCUUUUAAAACUUAGUGGCGGACGGGUGAGUAACACGUGAGCAACCUGCCUUUCAGAGAGGGAUAGCUUCUGGAAACGGAUGGUAAUACCUCAUAAUAUAUUUCUGUGGCAUCACAGAAAUAUCAAAGAUUUAUCGCUGAAAGAUGGUCUCACGUCUGAUUAGCUAGAUGGCGGGGUAACGGCCCACCAUGGCGACGAUCAGUAGCCGGUCUGAGAGGAUGAACGGCCACAUUGGGACUGAGAUACGGCCCAGACUCCUACGGGAGGCAGCAGUGGGGAAUAUUGGGCAAUGGGGGAAACCCUGACCCAGCAACGCCGCGUGAAGGAAGAAGGCCCUCGGGUUGUAAACUUCUUUUACCAGGGACGAAGAACGUGACGGUACCUGGAGAAAAAGCAACGGCUAACUACGUGCCAGCAGCCGCGGUAAUACGUAGGUUGCAAGCGUUGUCCGGAUUUACUGGGUGUAAAGGGCGUGUAGGCGGAGAUGCAAGUUGGGAGUGAAAUCCCGGGGCUCAACCCCGGAACUGCUUUCAAAACUGUAUCCCUUGAGUGUCGGAGAGGCAAGCGGAAUUCCUAGUGUAGCGGUGAAAUGCGUAGAUAUUAGGAGGAACACCAGUGACGAAGGCGGCUUGCUGGACGAUAACUGACGCUGAGGCGCGAAAGCGUGGGGAGCAAACAGGAUUAGAUACCCUGGUAGUCCACGCUGUAAACGAUGAAUACUAGGUGUGGGAGGACUGACCCCUUCCGUGCCGCAGUUAACACAAUAAGUAUUCCACCUGGGGAGUACGACCGCAAGGUUGAAACUCAAAGGAAUUGACGGGGGCCCGCACAAGCAGCGGAGCAUGUGGUUUAAUUCGAAGCAACGCGAAGAACCUUACCUAGACUUGACAUCUCCUGCAUUACCCUUAAUCGGGGAAGUUCCUUCGGGAACAGGAAGACAGGUGGUGCAUGGUUGUCGUCAGCUCGUGUCGUGAGAUGUUGGGUUAAGUCCCGCAACGAGCGCAACCCUUAUUGUUAGUUGCUACCAUUUAGUUGAGCACUCUAGCGAGACUGCCCGGGUUAACCGGGAGGAAGGUGGGGAUGACGUCAAAUCAUCAUGCCCCUUACGCCCUGGGCUACACACGUACUACAAUGGCGCAGCAACAACGGGGAGCGAAGGCGUGAGCCGGAGCAAAUCCUUAAAAGGCGUCCCAGUUCAGAUUGCAGGCUGCAACUCGCCUGCAUGAAGUUGGAAUUGCUAGUAAUCGCGGAUCAGCAUGUCGCGGUGAAUACGUUCCCGGGCUUUGCACACACCGCCCGUCA